rnacentral:rRNA from 2 species
UUAAGUCCCGCAACGAGCGCAACCCUUGAUCUUAGUUGCCAUCAUUUAGUUGGGCACUCUAAGGUGACUGCCGGUGACAAACCGGAGGAAGGUGGGGAUGACGUCAAAUCAUCAUGCCCCUUAUGACCUGGGCUACACACGUGCUACAAUGGACGAUACAAACGGUUGCCAACUCGCGAGAGGGAGCUAAUCCGAUAAAGUCGUUCUCAGUUCGGAUUGUAGGCUGCAACUCGCCUACAUGAAGCCGGAAUCGCUAGUAAUCGCGGAUCAGCAUGCCGCGG